GAAAAAACUCAAAUACGGCCCUAAUUUCUUUCCCCCCUCUCUCACUCUCACUCCCGCCACCGUGAGUUCUUCAACCUCUCUCUCAUCUACGAUCUACUAGGCAGCAAGCACGGCAUUCUCUUGCUCUCGCCACCAGAAUUCCUCUUUCUCUUGUCUUUGAGCCGUUGAUGCGACUCCACCUUCCUUCUAUCGACACAAUCAACAAUGCAACCAAAACGAGACCACAAUAGGUAGUAGGGGAAUCUUUUAAGAAGGCGUAGACCACUCAGCACUGAACCGUGAGCUCUUUGAACUAGUGAAGUUGAUUUGACAAUCGGUAAAAGAAGAAGUUGAUUUGAUCUGCAGAAGAAGGUGAAUCCCUUUCAUUUCUCAUUUUUAUUUAUUUAUGUAGUACGAAUAUGAUAGACCCUGAAGGAACAGGAGGCCAAACCCUAGAUACUUAGCUAUGAUGACUACAGAAUGUGGAAGACCAAUGGGUGCUUGACUUUUGGCUCACAAGUGGGCGAGUUGCUAUUGAGUUUGUUUAGGAGUUUGCUAAGUUUAUUUAGGAAGUAACCGUUGGUUUGACGACUAUAAAUAAGUUUGCAGACAUGUAGAUGAGGAGUAACAAAAAAUUGAUUGUGUUUGUGGUGAUAUCUCCUACACAAAUUGGAGACUUUAUUGCAAUUUAAAUAUUUUCAGCUUGAUUUUUUUCUUUUGUAGCUUUGAUUUCUGAUCAUCAAAACUGGUUCUGGAGUCAUUUAUAAUAAGGUGUCUGGCAGAU
rnacentral:lncRNA from 1 species